CUGACACCUUGAAUGGGAUUCUGAACAGAAUUUGUGCAGAUGGGAUUAAAUAUCAUCCUGAAUUGAAUUGGGCCCUCAUCCUGUCCAGCCACUCUGGAAAUGUCUAGAUUUACUUCCUUCGCAUCGCCAGGUCCCAGGGGCUUCACUUCAUUCUCUUCCAUGACAUUUGGUGGUAGUGGGAUGGGCAACUUCAAAUCUACAUCCCCUUCUACUAAAAUGGUAAUGGCAGAAAAAUCACUACAAAGAGAAUUGUGGAGAAUGGUGAAGAAAGAGUAGAAGUUGAAGACAACGGCCAGUUAAAGUCCUUGACGAUAAAUGGUAAGGAGCAGCUGCUACGCUUGGACCACAAGUAACAAUGCAUGCGUGUAGCAGACAUGUUAGCUGUAACGGGCACCACUGAGGACUGACAGGGACACGCUUUUUUGAAGAUUUCAAACAAACUCAACUUUUUUUGGGUAUAUAUUUGUAUAUUUUGUAUGUAUUUUUUUAUUGGAGUUCGAUUAGUCAACAUGUAGCAUAACACCCCCCACCCACCUCCCCUUCCACUACCCCUUGUUCGUUUCCCAGAGUUAGGUGUCUCUCAUGUUUG
rnacentral:lncRNA from 1 species